CUUACUUUUGUUAAAUUCUUGUUUACAUCUUCGUCCGAUGAACUAUCAAUUUCUUGUGAGGAUGACUUGUUCAAUGUUGACGGAGUGAGGUCGUUGCCUUCACAUACUUAUUAUGUUAACCGGGAUUGUCCAAUGUGCGAAUGACACAUACCGCAGCAAAACAAAACGUUUUGACAAAGUUACAAAC